GCGGGCGUAGCUUAGCGGUUAAAGCGCCUGGUUGUGGCCCAGGAGAUCGAGGGUUCGAUCCCCUCCGCUCGCCCCA
rnacentral:tRNA from 1 species